rnacentral:tRNA from 1 species
GCGGGUGAGGUUGAAGAGUUUGGCCACCACGGUCGCGACCCCCUCAAAAUGACCGGGGCGGGCGCGCCCGCACAGCACGUCGGAGAUUCCCGCCACCCGCACCA